GAGUUACCUGUCUUGUACCAUCAGCUGAUGGGAGAACGUGUAGCACUGGCAGUUUUGCCACACAGUUUUGUUAUUUUUUUCUGUCUGCAGCACACUUCAGGAAAUGAGAUCACUUUACAAUUGGUAGCUGUGGGAAGCCCAAAGCAAAUGUUUCACCCCUGUCUCAUGUACAUCUGUGUAACAGGGCCCUGAAGCCUGCAGGGGGGUCAGCCUGUGCCCAUCUCCUGCCCUGCUGUGCUCUGCCAGUGCCCACAUGCCGCUGCACUUGGCAAGUGAGGAGUUUUCCACCUUCCUAAAAACAUGGAAGUGAUUGGAGACCUGGAUCUGAAACAGUCUGGGAUGUGUAGGAGUUAAAAGUAAAGCAUGCCCUUUGUGGAGUGCCAUGGGAUGCCCAAGGAAUACCAUCUGUAAACCACUGAAUACAUACAAUGAAAAUAAUCAGCUCUAAUUUUAAAAAAUCUAAUCUUGGGCUAGAGGCCACAAACUGCUGAAAGUUAACAAACUUUCUUUUUUUAAACAGAGAACACAUGAGCUAAACUAUAUUGGAACACUGACCUUCAAACGUGCCAUGGCAUGACUAUCAGAGCUCAAGAGAAACAGGAUUUUAAGUUAAAUAUUUUAAAUCUGCAGAGGAGAGCACAGUCACCAUGCCAAGGACCACAUCUGGGCAUCUUAUCAUGAACAGUUCCACAGAAAACAUCCAGCAAACACCAACUACCUCAGUCUUUUUAUAGAAACACACAAGUAAAGCUCAUCUUUGCUCCCUCUGCGCUGACCGAAAAGGAAACCCCAAACAAAA